rnacentral:rRNA from 1 species
UUGGAGGGCAAGUCUGGUGCCAGCAGCCGCGGUAAUUCCAGCUCCAAUAGCGUAUAUUAAAGUUGCUGCAGUUAAAAAGCUCGUAGUUGAAUUUCGGGACCAUCAUGUCGGUCGUGCCUCGGUACGUACUGGUAUUGUUGGUUUCUCCCUUCUGACGAACCAUGAUGUCAUUUAUUUGGUGUUGUGGGGAAUCAGGACUGUUACUUUGAAAAAAUUAGAGUGUUUAAAGCAGGCUCACGCUUGAAUACAUUAGCAUGGAAUAAUGAAAUAGGACGUUUGAUUCUAUUUUGUUGGUUUCUAGGAUCGACGUAAUGAUUAAUAGGGAUAGUUGGGGGCAUUAGUAUUCAAUUGUCAGAGGUGAAAUUCUUGGAUUUAUUGAAGACUAACUACUGCGAAAGCAUUUGCCAAGGAUGUUUUCUUUAAUCAAGAACGAAAGUUAGGGGAUCGAAGACGAUCAGAUACCGUCGUAGUCUUAACCAUAAACUAUGCCGACUAGGGAUCGGAUGAUGUUAAUUUUUUAAUGACUCAUUCGGCGCCUUACGGGAAAC